UGCUCCUACGGGGCGCAGCAGUGGGGAAUAUUGCGCAAUGGGGGGAACCCUGACGCAGCAACGCCGCGUGCAGGAAGAAGGUCUUCGGAUUGUAAACUGUUGUCGCAGGGGAAGAAGACAGUGACGGUACCCUGUGAGAAAGUCACGGCUAACUACGUGCCAGCAGCCGCGGUAAUACGUAGGUGACAAGCGUUGUCCGGAUUUACUGGGUGUAAAGGGAGCGUAGACGGUUAAGUAAGUCUGGAGUGAAAGGCCGGGGCCCAACCCCGGGACUGCUCUGGAAACUAUUGAACUUGAGUGCAGGA
rnacentral:rRNA from 1 species